CUGGUCAAAUACCUGCUUCUUGUCAAGUGCUUACCAUCAUCACCAUCGUCAUCACAGCACUGCGUACUUACCGUAUGCCUGGCCCUGGACUGAAUGCUUUAGAAAUAUGAUUUCCUCUCAUCCUUUCAGUGAAGUUAUGAGAUCAGUAUUAUGGACCUGUUCCCAAGAGAGCAGGCCUUCAUGCCUCACUUCUCAGCCCCCACAAACACUGUAAUGCUCUGCUUCCCUUGGCAACAAGAAGAAAUGCACCAUGCCAGCUGGAGAAAUGCUCUGUGGCCAUACAAUGAAGUGUAGAGGGCCCAUUGCUGCUUUGGCCAAGGUCUGACACUCCAGGUUGGAAUCCUGGGCAGGAGCAACUGAAGGCUAAGAAACCAGGGGCUUCAGGAUGAGACCUAUGGGCUGAGCUCUGUCAGCGCCUGGCAGACAGUGAGCAGAACAGAUGCUCAUGACAGCAAGGAGAAGCCUGGAAAUUCAUCAAGGAGACUGUGUGGAGGACUUGCAGUGGUGUGCCCAAAUCCUUCCAGGAAUGAUCCAAUUCCAUCCGUGUCUACACCUGCGAUGACUUCCACCUGUCAUGGAUGCUCUUUUAGGUCUCUGCAGGGAAGAAAAUUAACUGGAGGUGAAAGGGAUCUUUUCCAGGAAAGAAAAAUUCUUUCUUCAGAGGGAAACAACAUCUAUGUUCAAAGUCUGACUCUGUUGGUUUCUAGCUGGGGCUGAGUCAGUUGGUAGGCACCCUGUGCCUUCUGCUAACCUAAGCAAAGUGAAGACGCUGUAGCGAUUCUCGCUGCUCUUCUGAAGAUUACAUGGACCAACAUCCAGGACCCAGGGGGCCAUGGUGCUGGAGCUAAAUCACUGUGCUUAUCAGCAAUUGAUGAUGAAAGCUCUCAGCCAGAGGGAAAGUCAGAGACAGGACCGUGGAGUGGAAUUUUCAACAGUAUCUGCCCUAAAAGCCACAGGAACAUCAACAGGGGUGGAGCCUGAGUGCUGUGGAGUAGAGUCCAAUGACCAGCUGAAUGGGGGCACAAUUGAAUCAGAAAAAAAGCCCAUGCUUGAUCAAGAAAUUACACAAAUUCUCAUUUCUACAUAUGUUAACAAGGAGUAUCAUGCAGUUAUAUGCAAUUCUGGAAGAUUUAUGCCCAUCUUAAUGGCUGGAGAUGUCCUUCAAAUUUUCCAUCUGCCCUGCCCUAGGUCUAAUAUGAUAAUA